rnacentral:rRNA from 1 species
GUACGCUGCGAUAAGUCUUGGGGAGCUGCGAACGAGCUUUGAUCCGAGAAUUUCCGAAUGGGGCAACCCACCUUCGAUUCCUGUUAAUCCAAGAGUUCUCUUGUUCCGUGCACAGCGGAUGAGAGAUGACAAGCAAGACGACGGCUUUUGCAGAAGCUGGCGACGUUGGCGAAUGCAUCGCGCAAGCGAUGCUAGGAGCGAACGCCAUAGGGCGACCUAUCGACGCCCGUCUUAACAGACGGGCUACGGCCGAGCUGAUGCGAGGGUUAGUCCGAAAGCUUGCUUUUGGACUAACAGGAAUCACUAAGAAGGUAUCAAACUCUGUAAUGGGGUUUGAAGCAAACCCGGGGAACUGAAACAUCUAAGUACCCGGAGGAAAGGACAUC